CGGGUGAGUAACACGUAAGUAAUCUACCUUCGAGUGGGGAAUAACGUCCGGAAACGGACGCUAAUACCGCAUAAUGCAGCGGCAUCGCAAGAUGACAGUUGUUAAAGGAGUAAUUCGCUUGAAGAGGAGCUUGCGGCAGAUUAGCUUGUUGGUAAGGUAACGGCUUACCAAGGCUACGAUCUGUAACCGGUCUUAGAGGACGGUCGGUCACACUGACACUGAAUAACGGGUCAG
rnacentral:rRNA from 1 species